UUUUAAUUUUUUUAAAACCUUUUUGUUAACCCUAAGUCAGUUCGCCUCUGCCUGCACAAUUCGCCCACUUCACCCUGCAGAUCGCUCCGUCAAAGCGCCGCUCGCUGUUCUUCACGGUGAUGCUCAUAUCCUCUUCCUUCUCACAGCACCAGCCGGUCACAUACUCCCCACAUCGCUGAGUUUCUCCAUCUUCAAUCAGAGUUACAGAUUUAGGGAAAACAACAGCGGUAAAUUGGUUAUAGCACUCAACAAGAAUUUAGGACACUUAAUUACUCUCCAAGGGUGAUGGGAGUUGUAACACGGACGGGACAAAUCAUUUAUAGAAACUCUUGCCAGAGUUAGACAAGUUGCUAGCACAUGAAAAGAAACUUUACUGAUGAAGUUAAGGAUGAUGCCGGAAAAGAUAAACUUACCCCAAACGGGUCAAAGAAAUACAGUGAUAUUAAAGCUCCUACAAAAGCAGUUGUAUGCAGUUCUUGAUGUAUAAGCUCAAAUUUUAUGUUUAACUUGUUUGCUUUUGUUUUGCGUUGCUGUUACUUUAUGUGUGCUCACAGCAAGUUCCUCAUGACUAUGCCUUUGAGAAGUGCAUAAGAGAAGAGCUUAUCCUUGCAAAUGAGAUAGGGGUGACUUAUUGGGGUGCCUUACCCUGCUCUAUUUUGUGAUAGUUAUUUUAAUGGUAUUCAUUUUAUUAGAGUAUAUAUGCUUUUGAUACAAUGUGUAUUAGUCAAGUAAUAUAAAAGUAUUUGUUUUUUCAUAGAAUUUGCAACUCAAACUCUUACAAUUGAUCUGUAUACUCUGAACUAUUAUCAUUGUGAUAUUUAUCGUUAUGGUUUAGAACUAUGUUGCAACACUAAGAUUAUAUGUAAUUUAAGAAGGAUAUGUAACAUAUGUUACAAUUAUGUAUACUUUAACUUCUGACAUUGGAAAAAUUUGAUAAAUUAGUUGUUUUGCAGGUAUGUAUUUGUUAUCUCUACAAGAGUUUAUGUCGGAAACACAAUUUGGUGGAGUAAAAUUGAAAAUUAAGAAUUUGGUGGAGUAAAAUUGAAAAUUAAGAGUAGACUUUUUUUUUUUGGUAAAUUUUGAGAUUAUGAUAUUCAUGUUUUUUGCAUAGAAUAUAGUACUUAUAGGUUGUAGUUUUUAACUAUUUUGAAGUUUGGCAUGGUUGUAAGACUUGGUGAUAAUUUUAAAUAUAAAUUAAGGUUCAUUUGAUUUUGUUUCAGCCAAGAAGAUGCAGGUUACACAAGUUUCUAAUUCUCUCUUUUGUUACAUUACAUAAAUAAAUACUACCAGUGGAUGUCUUACUUAUAACUUUUUAAUUUUUUUGGGUGCAGAUUUUCUUGUGGAUGCUAUGGACUACAUACUAUCUAGAAUGUUAAGCUUAAAUUUGAUGCAAGUGUUAGUUGAACUUGAACCAACAAUUUAUUAGUGACUUCUUUCUCAGCAGGCAUAUUAAUACCGAUCUUGGUUCAGAUUGGAAUCAGGUGGCUGCAAUCAUUUUAAUUAUGGUAUUGUGUGCUUAGAAGUAAGGAUUUGUUGAGCUGUUGUUAGAGGACAUCAUUCAAGACUAUUAAAGGAAAUCAUAUUUAGAGUGAGUGAGAUUUAAGCAUGGUUUCAUGAUAUGGCAUUUGUUUAGUAUAUGGAGUGGAACUCCAUUUGUACUUCUUCUCUGUUGUAUCAUUUGAUAUAGGUCGUGGGUUUUUUUUGUUAAGAUAGUUGGAUCUUGAUUUAGGUGUAGUUUUGCAUAUUGUCAAUGCAGAGCAACUGAUAAUCAUAUAUUUGUAAAUUUGGAAACUCAA